GCCAGCGGCAACAUAACGUUAAAUGUACCAGUUCCCAGUAAAUCACCAAAGUUAAUCAACGUUGCGCGUGGUUCAUAUACGGAUGGGUGACCAUCUGGGCAAUCGUGUGUGCUUGCU
rfam:Asian citrus Psyllid, Diaphorina citri - Florida Strain, whole genome shotgun sequence.